rnacentral:tRNA from 1 species
UGAAGAAUGUGGCUCACUGGAAGAGCCUCUGUUUUUCAUGCAGAAGGCCCUAGGUUCAAUCCCCCACAUCUCAG